GAGAGUAAAACAGUACGUGAAAUUGUUGAAAGGGAAACGAUUGAAGUCAGUCAUGCCGGCGUUGGAUUCAGCUUGCUUCGCGGAGCUUGCGCAUUUCCUCGCAUGGCAGGUCAGCGUCAGUUUUGCGCGGCGUGAAAAGGCUCGGGUAAGGUAGCUCUCUUCGGGGAGUGUUAUAGACCUGGGCAAAUGCGCAGCGCGGGACUGAGGAUUGCAGCGGACACCUCUUCGGGGGCGCGGCGACCGAACCCUGCUCGGCCACCCUCGUUCGAUAGCGUGCUAGCGGACGCGGGAGCAGCAGUGCACCGGAACAGGCAAGCCAGCGGUUCGCUUAGGAUGCUGACGUAAUGGCUUUAAACGA
rnacentral:rRNA from 1 species